CAUUAGAUUCGGCAGAUUAUCUUUGUCCAAACAUAGGUUCCAUCGAACUUGACCUGAUGGCACAAGCCGUGCGGCGACCUUCACUACGAUUCAUAUAUAAGCGACAACGAGCAAAUUGCGUAAGGUUUACUUGUGCUACAUUUAAGGGUAACAUGAAGUGUAUUCUGGUUUUCUGUUUGGUUGUUGCUCUUACCGCAACCGUAUACGCAAACAGUUGCACGGACGCAUGUGAUGCAACAUUUACUGGAUGCGUGCAAGGAUGUCGUGAUGCACAUGCACAUGGGCACCAUUUUGACGCAUGCGAGAGUGCUUGUCAACUUGCCAAAGACACUUGUCAUGCAACUUGUCAUGGGCAUGGAAAAUAAAUUUUAACCGAUAUGUAUUUGCAUAA